CCUAUCUGGGCAGGCACCGUAGCAAGAUGCUGAUGGGGUACAAAAUGAGAACUGCCCACCAGGAGCAGACGAAGAACACUAUGGCAGCAGUGGGGAUGGGCUGCUGACCGCGACUGUCUACUCCAAGGCUGCAGGACAAGCCUUGGAGUCUCUGACCUCCAUCAAAGCAGACACAGAGCAGUGCUGAGCAAACACCUCAGCUAACAGAGUUAUCAGUUCCUGACCUGGGAGGCCCUGUUGGGAAAACAAAAGAAGGAAUAGCGGUGACACACUCAUGAAUCACGCUUGGCAUCCAAGAGGAACAACAGGAACUUAUAGCAUUCACAGUUUGGGUUGUACUGGCUGGAAGGGGCACCAGUCUACCAGAGAAAAAUAGAAGCUGGCUGAUUCUAUCACUCUGAAGAACCUACUGGGAAGAUUUCACUGGAGGCAUCAGAUUCGACUUCAUAUGGCUGUGUUACAGAAUGAUGUCAAGAUAAUUAAAUCACUCUCCAGAACAGGAUCUGUUUGAAAUUUCCUAGUGAAACAUCUCAAGUGUGUUGCUCCAGAACAUGGUAAGCCUUUUCCAGGAGGAAGAAAUUUGCAUUCUCCUGAGGACAGAGACGUGUCCACUUUCUUCUGUGAUGGUGAGCUAAUCACCACCAGAAAAUGGAAGAGCAAAUUAAAGCAGAGUUCUUUACAUCUCUCUCGUUGCUCUAGCUCUGCGUUUCUCAAUGAAGUUGUCCAAAGCCAGUAGAUCCUAAGAGCUCCGGUGAUGUGCUGUGAACCCCUCACACCUUAUAGGAAAAGGAUUUGGAGAACUUUUCCCUCCUCAAGGAGUAUGGUAUAGCCCAGCUGUGCUUCCCAGGCUUGUUAAUAGAUCUGUUUUAUUGUCUUCUGUUCCACUGCCAGAGAAUUUUUUCAGGCAAUCUAUAGUGAUUGAUUCUAGGGAAACAAAACACCAUUUCCUUCUGUUUUCAGUCUGGAGUCACGUUGUAGCUCACUCAACAGAGGCACAAAGCAGCCAGUCAGGUUUUUUUCUCAGCAGUUCCAGAAUUCCUGCACUUGUCAACAAACAGCUGUACAAAAUUAACUGAAAUAACUUCCAGUUUUGGUCUUCACGCCUGAAAAUGAUGGUUCUGAGGCUGAUAGAAAUGGCCUGUCUUCCUUCUGGAUUUGUUAUGGAACAAAAAAGCUAUGCCUCAGACAGUGGGGUUUGUGUAACUUGAGUUUCGUCUUGUUUUUCUUGAUGUAAGGUGCUCCAGUGCUACCUGGAAUUAUUUUUUUUUUCUUUUUGUGAUUCUAACUGCUGGUCACAAAUAACAGAACUUGUCAUUGAGUAUUCGAUACAUCAUUUGCACUUUGGCUUAUUUUUCCUUGCAAGUUAACAUUUAUGCUUUCAGCUAUCAGAAUAUCCUGGAGAACAUGAAUAUUCUUCUCUCCUUCUGCAAACUGUAUAGAAAGCCACUGUAUUUUGUCACUAAUGGGAGCUGAUAUAAAAAUAUUUGCAAUGACAACAUACUGCUCUUAUUCAUACAUGCCAGGUGUGUUCUGCUAGGUACUAAAAUGAAAAAUUGAGGUGAUGGCUGCAAGAGCUGCACACUGUCUGCUAAGCAACCUCUUCCUUCGAAAGCUUUACUCUUCAAUUUGUUAUAACUCGUGGUGAGGUGCCACUCUGGGAGAGCUAGAAUGCAGAAAAUGGCUCAGUCAGUAGAAUGUAGUCUUAAAAAUAAACAAAUUCACUAAAAUCUCAUUCCAUAGAUAUUGCAAAAUAUGGCAUUCCAGAGUCUUUCCUGUCUUCAUGCUGUGAUGUGAACACCUGAUUAUACCAUCGCUGUGUAAAUACGAUUUCUGUUUCACAGUUGGACAGAGAUACAGUAAGAGGCUAUAGCCAAAGAAAAGAGAGUUUGAAGAUGGCUUUCUAGUUAGCUUGACAUCAUUGUUAUCCUCUCUAAGUCUCUGGAGGGGGUUCUGCUCUGCUUUUGCGGUGGAAAGUCUCUGAUGCCCAAUAAGGGCUGAUGUACUGACUUGCGAAGCACUACAUGGUAUUUGCUAAUCAAGACAAUAGCUAUAAUAGGCUGUUAUGCAAAAUUAUGGCAAUGCCUUCUCCGUCCUCUAAGACAGAGGAUUUGGGCGUAUUGGGAAGUUAGACAGCAUGGAUGUACUGCUCUUCCUAGAAAUACAGUUCCUCUUGAGGGUCUCUGAAAAUGACAUUCAUUCAGCUCUCUUCCCGUCUGCAUUCUCCAUUUGUUGUGGAGAAAAGGUAAGAUGAGUAAGGGCUGGAAAAUGCUGCUAGGACAAAUAAGCAGAAUAGAGAAGAAGUGGUGAUGGAGCAGCAUGGCUGAAGUAAGAAACAUUGAGGUUGGAGUGGCUUCCUGGGGAGAAAUGAGAAUUUGUGAAAGAUUUAUUCCAUAGUGAAGCACAUCCACAUCCCAAAACAUGGUCAUCCACAAGGCAUGUGAGACCUUGUAGCCUCACAAGCUAAAACUAUGCUGAGCUCUCUUCUGUCAGGGUUAGAUUGCUGUCUGUUACAACUAAAAAACCAGCCAAAGUGUAUUCAUCCUUUCAUCCUGUAUGCAGCCAAGUUCCAACAGUUCAUCUAUUCUCAGAGAAACCACCACAACUCCAUCCACUGGUCCUUGGACAUAUGAGUGACAUCCAUCUAUUAGUCAGGUACAUCUAUAUAAGACUAUUCAAUAUUAUUAGUGCCAUAUUACAUACUAUGAAUUACACUGAUGUUAUUGCAAGUGAUCACUAAUUAUUUUCAGAUCUUAGGUGAACAUACAUCUUAAGUGAAAUCAUUUUCACAUUUCUUCCUGUUACCUCAUAGUCUCAGGCUGUUACAGCUGAGUGAAUGCAGACGAUACACUGAAAUAGUAACUGAAUUUCCCACUCCCUGUUCAUUGUGUAUGUGCUUCAGGUAAUAUUGCUUUGGAAUAAAAAAGCAUGAAUGUCUUUAUUUUGAAUUAAUUGUAUUAGGUCAUUAAGAAUCACUUAGCAUGCCAAAUCCAAAGAGUAUUUGAUACACCAUAAUGUCACUCACAUAGUCACAGCAAGGGCUUGCUUGAUGAAUAUCAUGUCUUCAUGGAACAAGAGGAGUAAUGAGGGUUAGCGUGGGUCAAUUUUAUCCUAAAUAGUUGACUUAGAUUAUUUGUUAAGUUCAUUUUCCUUUAACAGAAGAAAUAUAAAUCUCCAAAGAAUGAGAAAUGGGAGUGGCGUACUGUGUUUUCAGAGUAGUUUUAAUUCUAUGGGAAGAUCAGCCCUAUUAUUUGCAGUGCAGCACAUGUUCUGAUGUAUUUUGUGAAGGGUUUAACCCUUCAAUAUUUCUCUCCUUUUUUGGUUAAGAUCCCUGUUGCUCCCUUUUCAAAUGAAUAAAAGGAAAAAAAUGCCCUUGAUCCGAAUGUUUUUCUUUUAAUAACCAUGCUGUCAUAAUGCAAUACAAAAUCAGUAUUGCACUAGAUAAAAUGAAACAUUGCCAUAUUCCCUUUGUGGAAUAUUGAAAUACUUUGAUGUUCUGAGAGGUUUUAUCCUUUGAGUUUUGUACCUGACAAUUUUUUGGCAGAAUUAGUGGGAUUUUCCCAAAGUGCCCUGACUAAGGCAGCGUCGGUUCACAGACUGUGGUUCCACUAAGGACUUUCUUACCGGCUGCGUGUUUUUGGCUGGGUGCGGGCAGCUGACCUUUGGGUGAACUUCAUGUAAUUUGCUUUUCCUAUUUGUUAAUGAUUUGAGAUUUUGUAAAGGAAUUGUGUGGCAGCAGAACAGGAGAUGAACAAUAAUGUAUGUCCUCAUUAAAGCUUCAGUAUUUCUUUCUCAUCGGAUUUCUCUCUGAGUGGGAAGAACUAAGCCCUUGUUCACCGGUUACUGGAACCAGAAGUGUCCUUCUGAAGCCACCAAGUGCCUACAGCAUUUCUGGAUUUGCUUCUGGUGAAAGGAUUACACGGUGGCAUUGUUUGGAGUUUAGCACAGUAGCUAGCAAGCAUGCAUUUGGGGUUUUUUUUCUGUUUUCCCUGAUAUAGCUUUUUCCCCCUUCCAGUUUGACAGAAAGUUCCUUGCUGAAAUACUGGCCAAACAGCCUAGGAAAAAACAGAGAUCUUUUCUAUCAGUUUGCAGCCCAGUACACUCCCACACCUUUCUUUUCCCAUUGAAAAUUUCCCAUCAUAAUUUUGUUGCUACCUUUGAAAUUUCUUAUGUAAAUCAGACUAAAAGGAUUUUAGAAUAUUAUAUGAAGCUUCUGGCACUUCUGCUUUUUUUCCGCCACUUUUGGAGACUCAGUAUAUUUGCUGACUUCUUUGGUGGUUUUUAAUUUAACAUCCUUUUGGGUUUGUUUACUCUUGUUUG